GCCAGACUCCUACGGGAGGCAGCAGUAGGGAAUUUUGCGCAAUGGGGGGAAACCCUGACGCAGCAACACCGCGUGAAUGUUAAGCCCUUCGGGGUGUAAAGUUCUGUCAAUAGGGACGAAUUUUGACUGUACCUAUAAAGGAAGCACCGGCUAACUCCGUGCCAGCAGCCGCGGUAAUACGGAGGAUGCGAGCGUUAUCCGGAUUUAUUGGGUUUAAAGGGUGCGCAGGCGGAAGAUCAAGUCAGCGGUAAAAUUGAGAGGCUCAACCUCUGCGAGCCGUUGAAACUGGUUUUCUUGAGUGAGCGAGAAGUAUGCGGAAUGCGUGGUGUAGCGGUGAAAUGCAUAGAUAUCACGCAGAACUCCGAUUGCGAAGGCAGCAUACCGGCGCUCAACUGACGCUCAUGCACGAAAGUGUGGGUAUCGAACAGGAUUAGAUACCCUUGUAAA
rnacentral:rRNA from 1 species